GGUUUUAUAGUCAAUUAUGAUUUUAAAUUGCAAGUUUAAAGGUGUUAAUUCUAAGGCUU
rnacentral:tRNA from 1 species